GAUGAACGCUAGCGGGAGGCCUAACACAUGCAAGCCGAGCGGUAGAGAUCUUUCGGGAUCUUGAGAGCGGCGUACGGGUGCGGAACACGUGUGCAACCUGCCUUUAUCAGGGGGAUAGCCUUUCGAAAGGAAGAUUAAUACCCCAUAAUAUAUUGAAUGGCAUCAUUUGAUAUUGAAAACUCCGGUGGAUAGAGAUGGGCACGCGCAAGAUUAGAUAGUUGGUAGGGUAACGGCCUACCAAGUCAGUGAUCUUUAGGGGGCCUGAGAGGGUGAUCCCCCACACUGGUACUGAGACACGGACCAGACUCCUACGGGAGGCAGCAGUGAGGAAUAUUGGACAAUGGGUGAGAGCCUGAUCCAGCCAUCCCGCGUGAAGGACGACGGCCCUAUGGGUUGUAAACUUCUUUUGUAUAGGGAUAAACCUUUCCACGUGUGGAAAGCUGAAGGUACUAUACGAAUAAGCACCGGCUAACUCCGUG
rnacentral:rRNA from 1 species